rnacentral:rRNA from 1 species
UGCCGGGCUAUGUUAAAUUGGAAUGAGUACAAUCUAAACCCCUUAACGAGGAACAAUUGGAGGGCAAGUCUGGUGCCAGCAGCCGCGGUAAUUCCAGCUCCAAUAGCGUAUAUUAAAGUUGUUGCAGUUAAAAAGCUCGUAGUUGGAUUUCGGGGCAGCCCGUCUGGUCCGUCGCAAGGCGAGUACUGGUCGUGCGCCCUUCCUCUCGGAGGCCCCGACUGCUCUUCGUUGCAGUGGUCGGGGAGUUCGGGACGUUUACUUUGAAAAAAUUAGAGUGUUCAAGGCAGGCCGUCGCCUGAAUACGUUAGCAUGGAAUAAUGGAAGAGGACCUCGGUCCUAUUUUGUUGGUUUCCAGGGCCGAAGUAAUGAUUAAGAGGGACAGUUGGGGGCAUUCGUAUUUAAUUGUCAGAGGUGAAAUUCUCGGAUUUAUGAAAGACGAACAAGUGCGAAAGCAUUUGCCAAGGAUGUUUUCAUUAAUCAAGAACGAAAGUUGGGGGUUCGAAGACGAUCAGAUACCGUCGUAGUCCCAACCAUAAACUAUGCCGACUAGGGAUCGGCGGAUGUUAGCGUUUGACUCCGUCGGCCCUUGUGAGAAAUCAAGAGUCUUUGGGUUCCGGGGGGAGUAUGGUCGCAAGGCUGAAACUUAAAGGAAUUGACGGAAGGCACCACCAGGAGUGGAGCCUGCGGCUUAAUUUGACUCAACACGGGGAAACUCACC